rnacentral:lncRNA from 1 species
UUCUUGUUGUUUGUUUAUUCAUUUUAAAUCUCUGGAUUCGUGGGGCCAACUGUUUUCUAGAUGGACUUCACUGUAGAAUGAUGGUUAGAUUAUUAAGGUAGGAAGUGGUAGCCAAAUCUGGAUCUGCUCACUUCCUAGCCAAAUGGUUGAUUUAUUUAAUUCCUGUUGGUUCAGUUCUUCAUCUGGAAAUCUGGAAAGUUUUUAAGGUAAAUUAUAUGCAGCUAAAAUAGAAACUUGAAAUCUUACUUCUUUGGAAAAAAAACAGUUACCCCCAAUUAACAAAUAGUUUAUUUUCCUAAAACUUCACUUAGGUCAUCUGUUUGGAACUCAGACUGAGUCUCCUAAUAGAAACAAUGAUGUCCAUGGUGAUUAGGCUCUUAGCUGGCCCUCAGAGACAAUCAUGUCUCAAAAUAUUAUAGCACCAGUAGCAGUCUGUAAUGCUAAAAGCUCAUAAUCAGCCACUACAUUUAAUGAUUUUUAAAAAAUUGAUCCACAGUCUUGCCUAGUAGGAGCUGGAUGUAGGCUUUUGCUGCAGCUGUGAAAGUAACAUUGCCAGGUAGGAGCAGAGGAAGCAGAAUCUCUUAGUUCCUGGUCACUGAGGGAGGCUUCUAUUGAGGGCCAAGUCCUCUUUGGCCCCAGCCCUGGCCUCCCACCAAUACACUCCCCUUUCUGUUGCUACCCUACUGCCUCAAAACAGUUCUUCAUCUCAAAAAAAAAAGGAGUCUCAGUUUCCUUCUUAAGUGAUGCUAAAAGAGGUUUUUGAGGUUUAUAAUGUGAUUUCUUGAGAAUAAGAAAUAGACGAGAAGGACCCCUCUCCUCACCCCUAACACAAAUACCCACAUUUUUAAGUGUGUGUAGUUGGCGGUCAUGCUCUUCAAACCCGUCACCAGGUCAAGGCAUCUCCACCUGCAGAUUCAGUGAGCUUCCAUAACAUUGCAGCCGGGGUCUCUGAUACUCUGACGUGCUUACAUUGGCCAUGAGAUUACUGCCUACAGUCUUACCCUGGGGCUGGAGAAAGAACAACUGAGGUAGGGAGCAGCCCCCCAAGAAUUCCACUUCUCUUCUUGUCUACACCAGCCACGCCUGUCCUCACAGACACGUGAGUCCCACACAUGGCACAGCACUCUCCGACCUUCUGUAUCUGAUACUCGUGCCGAUGUGUGUCCCCUGGAUCGAUGUUGAGUUACUGUCUCAAAAUCUCAUGAAGGUAUCUUGUUAAGGCUACAGAGUUCAAGCCACUCUUGAGUCCUGGAGUGAGGGGACGUCAUUGAUGUCAAUGGCCUGAGGAAACGGUGAGUCCUGAGAGAGGCCCAGGCAGGUGUGAGGACCUGCCUCUGUCACUUCCUCUCACUCUGCCCACCUGCCCUUCUCUCUCUGCCUCUUCUUCCACGGGGUGGAGUUUCAGAUGACCCCUACCACCUGGAGGUGGACUUUAGUCGGCAGGCCCCGUCUGUGGAGGAGUGCCCGAGCCAAGGAUGAAUGAUUUAUGCUUUGUAAACCAGAUUCUCCAGUUUUAUUUGUGGCUGUUUCCAUUUUGUAACCCCCAGGUCCUCCAUGAAACCUUGCUUAAAUGUUCCAACAUGAUCUCAGCCGUGCAGAGGGAACUAAGAAAGGCGCUCUCCCUCCACAUCAAAUGUGUGGGGCGUGACGGCUGGCAGUGACCUCUGAGGAGAAGUGGGUGUCGGGCCUGUGAGCUCGUUACCACUUUCCAUGGCAGAUUCAUCUCCUCACCUACAAGGGGCGACUACACUGGAUCUCAGCAAAGAAGAGGUCAAGUUCCCUUUUCAAAGUGCUAGAGAAAGCAGAACUCCAGCUAGCCCCUGAAAAGUAAGUGGUCAACUCAAGGUUACAAUGGCCCCGCUGACCGGCUGAGCCACGUCCGCACAACCAUUUGUAUGCUACCUCAUG